rnacentral:RNase_P_RNA from 1 species
AAGGGUGAAAGGGUGCGGUAAGAGCGCACCGGGCCGCUGGCAACAGGGGCCGCACGGCAAACCCCACCCGGAGCAAGGCCAAAUAGGGGACAAGGGGUCGCCUGCCCCGCAUGAGUCCCGGGUAGGCCGCUAGAGGUUCGGAGCGAUCCGAAUCCCAGACAAAUGAUUCCGGCCCGCGUUGUCGCGGGACACAGAACUCGGCUUAUGACGCCCGUCCUCCU